rnacentral:misc_RNA from 1 species
GAAGAGAUAACUGAAAGCACAGCUAAGUACAGUAUAAUCUACUCAAUAACGAUGUAUGAUUUUUUCCUCUCCCAGUUUCCUGAGUUUGGCGUCCAAUAGGACUGGUGUUCAGGACAAUCGUACAUGAAUAACUCACGAAUCAUAUAUAUGGAACGAGAAAUCGGCCAAAGGAUCAAAUGUGGUGUUCGAUUGCUACCACGAUUUAAUGGCUAUUUGAAAUAUGAAGCAUCGUAAAUAAUUUCAACAUAGUUUUAUGUUAAAGUUUUGUUCAAAGACUGCUUGGGAAAGAAAUUCAAAUUUCCAUACGAUAUUUACUAAAAUGUGUAAUCAGAUAAUUAACUGCAUGCCUUGGAAAUUGAAAAAAAUUGAAAAAAAAUUGGAAGCUCAAUGUGCAAGACAAGAAUAAAAUUCAUACAUCGAAUCAAGAAAGAAAAAUCCAUAGCCAAGUUUGAUAUCUAAUUUGGUAAUUUAUUUGUGGUUUAUCAUAAAGGAUUAUAGGUAUAUAUGUAUAAUAGAGUUAUAUAAAAGAUCGUAUUUUUAUCUUCAAUACACAGCUAAAAUGUGUGUUGCUCUAAUUUUGUGCUUAUUUCACAGCCAUGCUAAUUUGUUUUUUAAUGUAUGAAACCAACUAUGUCUAUACAUUCUUAAUUUGAUGUCAUUCAAAUUGACUGCGUAAUAUAACUGAAAUUACUGUUGAUAAUCUACAAUUGUAAGAGUUAAUUAGAAAUUCUAACUAAAACUGUUCAAAAAUAAGACGAAACAGGCUGAUUCAUUUUUCAUAUGGCCAAAAACCUGUGCUCAAAGAUUUUAACCAUGUACAAUUAAAGUAUUUCAUUUAGGAUUGGAGAAAAACUGGUGCUUUUUAUAUUUGAUUCAAGAUCCUUUAAAACAAAUACAGAUUGUGAAACAAACAUUCAGGGAACGGAAUCAAGUAUAUAAAAUCGGUACAAUGUAUGAAUUUUAUAUAGUCCAUCAUAUGUUGACAUUAAAUCAUUUCUCAAAGAGGUACGAUCCAAUGUUUAAAUGUUUUUAAAGUUAUAUUUCUUGUUAUCUUUUUCGUCAUAUUUAUAUUAGAACUAUGAUGAAAAUAAAUAAUAACGUAAUAGGAACAAAC